GCGGAGCCCUCACAGCAACAGCUCGGGGUAAACCUGGUCCCAGGACCCCCGGCGAGGGCUGAAACACAACUCAACGCUCCUGCAGGUGCCUGUGCAAAGUGAAGGAGAGCACACACUCCCUCUGGGCCUGGCUGAACCAGCCCGAGGAGAAGAAGAAGUACCUGAACCCUCUGUACUCGCACAACGCCCUGGUCAUCUGGCCCUCCGUGGAGCCCCAGAGCAUCCAGCUCUGGCAGGGUUUAUUCCUCCGAUGGAUCCGUUCAUCCGAAUACCUAGACGAGGCCUGGGCAGAGAUCCAGCGGCUAGUAGAGAACGACGACGCCUCCAUCGAGGAGAGCGUGGGGAACAGACAGAGCCAGUCACUGUCAGACACUGCUACCAGGACUGAAAACGAGUGAUAAGCGGCAGCACGGGUGACCACAGCGGGGCAGGUGCAGGUCACAGCGCUGUCGCUUCCUCCCGCCACCUCGGGCUGCUGCAGGCUGCCAGGCCCAGGCAAGAGACGCUGCAGCUUUCCGCGGGAAGCGCUGUGCGGGACACACGCCCGGAGGAGCUCAGACACGCCUGGAGCGCAAAGGACAUCCUUGGGAGGGUGGGACGGACUCACGCUAGCAGCCUUCGGGCAGCGCAGACUGAGCUUGUUACAGUAAAGUGGUCUCUAUCGCA